rnacentral:ribozyme from 13 species
AAAAGGACGAGAAAGACUCUGACAAGGACGAAAAGGAAAAGGAAAAAGUGGGACUCCCUCCCUCCACCCACGACAUUUCUGAGAUUGAUACUUCUCUUUCCACUCUUUUCGCUUCCCCUAUUCCUCAAUCUUCCUCUU